UGGGAGGAGAACUUUUCUAUUCUAAGACAGGAUCUUGGGUUAGCUCAACAGAUCAGGAAUGAUCAGGAGUAUAAGACUUUCUUUAUAAUACAGAACAUUUACCUUGGAUAUCAAGGAGUGGCCAAGGCUUAAUUUAAAAAAUGACUGCUGUAUCCUACUGCUCCCCUCAAAACCUGAAUUUUUCAAGGACAUCAGAAAAAGCGCUUAAGUAAUCCUUGGCUUUGGGCCAUGGGGUAUGGUGUGGUAAAGGGAAGAUUUUGGAAUCUCAUACUAGAAAGAUAAAAAGAGGAGUAUCAGAGUGGCUGCAAUCCAGCGCUCUGCAGAAAGGUGGAGGUGCAAGUUCAGGGAGUCAAAACUUCGGGAAGCUGUGGAGGGGACAGAGAGCAAGGGUAAAAAGCAAGCCAGCUUCUCCUCUCCGGGCAAAGGCAAGCCUCUAGCUCUUGGCACAAAGGCAUCUUCACUGUGGCCUGAUCUUGCCAGCGUCAAUUCUGAGAGACUCUGAAAGGGGUGAGACCAUCAAGGGAGUGACUUAUCAUGGCUCAGUUCCCAUGUCAAGGGGCUGAGUUGAGCUGGGAGCCUUGGUGUCACCCAACAAUCACUGCUGGUGGUGCUGUGAUGAUGUCACAGAGGAGCCCCACCCUGGUGUCCUCGGAGCUGGACCAAGGACCCAGAAGGAAAGUCCACCUUCCCAGCACAGCUGAGCCGUCCACCCUCUCGGCUACUUGUCAGGCUGACUACCAGCUCAAAGGGGUGAGCAGUAUCUGGACAGCUGGAAAUGCUGCUCUUUCAGUUUUCCUGUCCAGGGAGUGACAUACUACACAGGGAAGGAGGGCUGCAUUUGUUAAAAGUUCCCGGUUGUUUUCGUAGCGAGAACUAGUGUGCAUCUCACCCUGGAAAAUAGUCUUAGCAAUGUGAGAGUUUGAUUUAAUGAUCCGCAUUCCCAGAGAACUGUGCUGAUUUUAAAACUCAGCUAAACUGUCCAUGGAGAAAACCUAGCCCAAAGCAAACUCAGCAGAACAGAAGAGGACUCCCUUCUGAAAAUCGGUUGUUGAAGGGGAGGAGCAUCCCAGGACCCUAGGUUAAGAGCUGCCCUAGAGUUGGUAGAACAGAAACAGAAAAGAGACCAGCAGCCAGAGUAAAGGUGGAGGGACCAGGACACGCUGCCACAAAUCCACAGAGAGGCCUGCACAAUCCAGAAACAAUGUCAACGGACGAUAUGAGUAAGCCUAGCAACCCCAAGACCCCUGAGCCCAAGCACUGUGAUCCCAGGUGUGAACAGAAGUGUGAGUCCAGCUGCCAGCCCAGCUAUUUAAAGAAGCUGCUGCGAGGCUGCUCUGAAAAGUGCUCACGCGAGAAGUGUCCUCCACCUCCAGAGUGCCCGCCGGCCGUGCCCCCCCAAGCCCUGCUCCAAGCCUUGCCCUCCUAAGUGCACCCCUGCCUGCCCACCCCCAGAGUGAGGCACCAUGGUUGCCACCACCAUGCCGCCACCACGGCCCCGUACGACGCCUGCGGCUGGAACCCAAGCCCUGACCUGACGAGUAAAGGUGACUUCUGCUGCGCAUGGCCUCCCAGGGUCCUGGGGGGUUUGCUUUCCUCCGUCGUCAUCGUUUCAGAGCAUGGAAGCACCAAGAACCAAUCCCUAAGGAGCGAGUGGGACCAGAGUUCCAGACCUCCACUACCAAAGCCCUUCGAGUCCCCGCUGCCCUCUGUCCCUGUCUGCUUCUUAGAGGAAGCUGCCCGUCCUGCAGAGUGCAUCGCAGGAGCACAGGCCCCUGGGAGAACAGUGAACAUGGCGGCAGCUGGGAAAAUGCAGGAACCCCAGGGAGUGAAACGUAGAGGGCCUGAGAGGAAAAGCGGAGGCGGACUUUAGCAAACUCUUAGUACGGUAUCCUAAUGGCUAUGCAGAUGGCUCUGAGAACCCACCGUGUGGGUUUAAACUCUAGCUCUGUUUCCUAGCAACUUUGUGAUUUAUGCAAGUUAUUUAAUUUUUCUGUGCCUCAGUUUCCUUCUCACUGCCGAAGUUGCAGCACUGUUCUGAGACUCGGAAGCUGACAAAUGCCUGGUGCACAGGGUACUGGAACAUAGGGGUACUGAGUGGAGGGAGUACCCUACACUUGGCCGGGCCUAACACUCACACAACUUAAUUGCCUGCACUUUUCUUCCUCGACGAAGUGUAAGACUCCUGAGCACACCGGUCAGGCUCUAAUACAACCCGCUAGACCCAGCUGGACAGUCUCACAAAAAUAGAAAAGGAGUUGUAUCCAUUCCUUGGGUUUGAUGCUGAGCUAUCCAAUGAUGUAACGUCACUAUUGAGAGGGUCCCAGUGAAAGGGACACAGGAGCUCUACUUUGCAGUUUUCUGUAAAUCUGUAGUAUUUCCAAAUGAAAACUUAGAUACAAAAAACUAGAUAUGUAUGUGGGGGGACCCCGUUAGGAAUGGACAGAGAGAAGGCACUCACAGCUAACACCUUAGUGGGGAUUAUUUACAAAGAGCUAGAGUCCACAUCAGACUGGCUUAAUUCACAAGAGGGAAUUUACUGGCUCAUGUUGCUGAGGAUAUGCAAGAGAGACAUUAGCACAGAGAACUGCAGCAACAAGGAAGCCCUUCAGGGGAUGGGUACGCAGAUUGCUCCUCCAUUUUAGUCUCUCUCAGCGCCCUGAGAUAUAUCCCACCCUCUCCUAAUGUCUCCCCCUGUGCACAAAUUGGGUAUGAGGACACUCCAGUUGUCUCCAGGAAAGGACACUGGUGGCCUAGAAGGUCAUGUGCCCACCCCUUUAGGCAAGCAGAUGACAGAGCUCUGCCAAGCAGAUCAACCGAGCUAUGGAUUAUUACAGUCCACAGUAUCUAAAUGGAAGUAGGUUUAGCAUUCUCUACAGUCAUAGGAAGAGGUCAUAAAAAAGGUCAGCUCUGGGAUGUUCUCCAAAUCAUGGCAUAUCAACAGCUCCAUCCUCCUCAGGCUAGAGGACGGUUCAGGCAACAGAGGGUAUGGCAAGUACAGAGAGUUCAAACUAUGCCAAAAAAAAAAAAAAAAAAGAUACCAGAGACCCCCUUUAAGACCCAGGCCUUGUCAUCAGCUAGUUACAGAUGUAGGCCAUUAGAAGAGGGAGCAAGACAAUGACUUUAGGGGUCCACCUCCUCAUUUUUCAAAUGUGAAAACUAGUGGUUACUUGUCUAAUGUGAAGAUGACUUGAAACCUCAGGGUCUCUAGGACAGGAUGAAAGCCUGAUCCUAGGAUCUCACACUCCAGAGCUCUGUACAGUACUGUCUGCUGGAGGCCAAGAACCACUAGAACCCCAUGUCAGAGCCAUGCGGGCUAUGGUGGAUGGCCGAUGACCACAGGAAAACCCUCCCACCUCACAGGAGAUCAUAAAGAAGGAAGCAAAAGGCUGAAGGUGAAGCUCAGAGUACAGCAAUUGCCUAACAUGCACAAAGCCCUGAGUUUGAUCCCCAGCACAGGGGAUAAAGAGGAACAAAAAGGAAGAAGGGGAAGAAAGGAAGGGGGAGAGAAUAAUGUGACACCCUUUUGCAUCUAUUAAAUGAUCACUUUCAAUUAAUAAGUCCCAGAACUCCCAUGUGAAAAUUGUGUCACUGUCAGUUGGAAUAUAAAUAAAUAUCAUUUUAGGAAACAAUUUGUCCAACAAGAUAAUAGACAUCAAAGGCAUGAAGUGAUUCACUAUUUUGACUCAAAGGAUUUACUUUAUAGAACUUAGGGCCAAAAAAAAUUUCUAACUGGGAAGAAAAAAUAAUUGCAAAAUGGGAGGAAAUGCUGUAUAAACAAAAGUGAUCAUCAUAGUAUAACUUUAAAAAUUCCAAUAUCUAACAAUGCAUGAUUAAAUGAACACGAACCUAUUACUCCAUGGAGUAUUACAGUCAUUUAAAAUGUACUGAAGAGGGGAUGUGGCUCAGUGAUGGAGUGCUUGCCUUGCGUGCAGUAGGCCCUGGGGUCCAAUCUCCAGCAAGAAAAGAAAAAUGUACUGAAGAAAAAAAAAGCUCACUUGAAUGUGCAUCAUAAAACAAUUAUCUGUAACAAAAAGCUUCAAUGAAUAAAAAUAAUAGAAAUUAAUUUGUGAACAUUCUAUGUUAGCAUAAUGGGGUGAUGAGUAAUGAUUACUUUUAUUUUUACUGGUGUUGUUAAUAUGCUUUUAUUUUAUAACAGGAAAAAUAAAUAAUCAUGAAAUAAUAAUUCAUUAAAUAAGUAUGAGCACUUCAGAGACCUCCCCAGAGUUCCCGGAAGACUUUAGCAGAGUAUCUCAGGGGACGUGCACCAUGCAGAUGGCACCUCACUUGGGUGCCUUCCGCCUGGAGUACCACUGCCG
rnacentral:lncRNA from 1 species